ACAACAUGCUGACACUGGGACAGUCACCCUCAUCACCCAUCCUGCAGAGCACAGCCCCAGGUGAGAAACUGGUGCUCUCAGAGAGCGUAUGAGUGGCCCAAUGUCACACUACCUCUGGGUGUGUGCAUGUGGAGCCAGGAUUUGAUCCUGGGCAGAUCAAACCCCAAGUGCCACCAGGUGCAGUCGAUCACAUGCUGACCCCCCACUUUACUGAUGAGAAAACUGAGACCUAGAGAGGUUGAGUAACCUGUCCAAGACACCUGGAUGAUAAGCCGGACCCAGCCAACAAGCCCAGCCAGCUUGAUGCCAGAAUCCUCUUACCUGACCUCUGUGCCUGCCAUCCCAGCUGCUAGAGUGGAGAGCCGGCCUUUCCUCGCUGCAGGAUGGACCCUAGGCCUCUCUCUGGGUUUCCAGAUCCUGCUCUGAAGAGCCGGCCUUUCCUCGCUGCAGGAUGGACCCUAGGCGUCUCUCUGGGUUUCCAGAUCCUGCUCUGGAGAGCCGGCCUUUCCUCGCUGCAGGAUGGACCCUAGGCGUCUCUCUGGGUUUCCAGAUCCUGCUCUGGAGAGCCGGCCUUUCCUCGCUGCAGGAUGGACCCUAGGCGUCUCUCUGGGUUUCCAGAUCCUGCUCUGGAGAGCCGGCCUUUCCUCGCUGCAGGAUGGACCCUAGGCCUCUCUCUGGGUUUCCAGAUCCUGCUCUGGAGAGCCGGCCUUUCCUCGCUGCAGGAUGGACCCUAGGCGUCUCUCUGGGUUUCCAGAUCCUGCUCUGAAGAUGAGGAGAUGACAUUUAGCACCAGCCUUCUCUAACUGGCUCUAAGAGGAAUCGGUGUUCCCUGGUGGUUCAGGAGUCAAAAGGGCCAACUGUAGCUUUAUUCCUCUUUCAAAGGAAAUAAAGCAGAGGUCCUAUUUGGGGAUAGGCCCUAUGCCUGAGUUACUUUGGCACUUAAUUGCUAUUAUUUAAUUGCUGUAUUGGGGAGCACAAAGUGAUCUACUGCAAAGUUAUUAGCAAAUUCUAGUUUUAAGGAAAUAAUUACUGAAUUCUCCCUCCCUGGGUUGAGUAAUUCCUUCCAAGAUGCUCAGCGACAUUAAGCAUUUUCACUAGGGCCACUAGCAGCUCUGUAAUAUG
rnacentral:lncRNA from 10 species